ACUCCUACGGGAGGCAGCAGUAGGGAAUCUUCCACAAUGGGCGCAAGCCUGAUGGAGCAACACCGCGUGAGUGAAGAAGGGUUUCGGCUCGUAAAGCUCUGUUGUUAAAGAAGAACACGUAUGAGAGUAACUGUUCAUACGUUGACGGUAUUUAACCAGAAAGUCACGGCUAACUACGUGCCAGCAGCCGCGGUAAUACGUAGGUGGCAAGCGUUAUCCGGAUUUAUUGGGGCGUAAAGAGAGUGCAGGCGGUUUUCAAGUUUGAUGUGAAAGCCUUCGGCUUAACCGGAGAAGUGCAUCGGAAACUGGAUAACUUGAGUGCAGAAGAGGGUAUGGAACUCCAUGUGUAGCGGUGGAAUGCGUAGAUAUAUGGAAGAACACCAGUGGCGAAAGGCGGCUACCUGGUCUGCAACUGACGCUGAGACUCGAAAGCAUGGGUAGCGAACAGGAUUAGAUACCCUGGUAGGAUAGCG
rnacentral:rRNA from 1 species